rnacentral:tRNA from 1 species
GGGGAGAUAGCAUAAUGGUUAUGCAAAAGACUUCCAUGCCCGAGGCUCUGUGAACCUGGGUUCAAUUCCCAUUAACACCA